CCCGUCCUGAAGGCCUAGAGGGUGCCCCCUGUGCCCCGCGGCUCCCCAGCACCUGCUUCUCGUUUCACAUCUUCAAGUUUGACUGCCCUGACACUGCCAUACUGUAAGGAAGCUUAAAACAGCUCAUAUGGAGAAACCACAUGGAGAAGACCUGAGACUUCAGAGAAAGAGAGAUAGAUGCUUUGCCAGCUGCAUGCUAAUCCAGUUUCAAUCAUUGUUUGGCUGCAACAGCAUGAGAGAUCCCAAACUAGAACUACCCAGCUGAGCCCUUCCCAAAUUCUUCAGCCACAGAAAGUAUGAGAGACAGUAAAAUCAGUGUUUUUAUUUUAA
rnacentral:lncRNA from 10 species